CUUGACACUGAACAUUGAGCCUUGAUGUGUAGGAUAGGUGGGAGGCUUUGAAGCGUGGACGCCAGUCUGCGUGGAGCCGACCUUGAAAUACCACCCUUUAAUGUUUGAUGUUCUAACGUGGACCCGUAAUCCGGGUUGCGGACAGUGUCUGGUGGGUAGUUUGACUGGGGCGGUCUCCUCCUAAAGAGUAACGGAGGAGCACGAAGGUUGGCUAAUCCUGGUCGGACAUCAGGAGGUUAGUGCAAUGGCAUAAGCCA
rnacentral:rRNA from 2 species